CCCUAGUAUAUGAUAUGUAAAUGAUUAGUAUAUUAAUUAGAAAUUUAAACAUUUUGGCGGUUAAUUAUAAAUUAGAGGAGCUUGUUAUAUAAUUAGAAUUAACUCUUUAUAUUUUUUAAAUUUAAUGCUUAUUCAUCUCCGUUAUUAAAUUUAUGUAAAUUGAUAAAAGAAUUAAUAAAUCUAUUAUUUCAGGUCAAGAUGUAGCUUUAAUUUAUUACAAUUAGCUACAAUUAUAAUAAUAAUGGGAAUAAUAAAAUAAUUUAUUAUAAAAAUUGAAUUUAAUUGUAAUAGUAACUAGAAAAUUGCUAUGAAAUUUUAAUUAAUGU
rnacentral:rRNA from 1 species